CCUACGGGUGGCAGCAGUGAGGAAUAUUGGUCAAUGGACGAGAGUCUGAACCAGCCAAGUAGCGUGAAGGAUGACUGCCCUAUGGGUUGUAAACUUCUUUUAUAUGGGAAUAAAAUGUUCCACGUGUGGGAUUUUGUAUGUACCAUAUGAAUAAGGAUCGGCUAACUCCGUGCCAGCAGCCGCGGGAAUUCGGAGGAACCGAGCGUUAUACGGAUUUAUUGGGUUUAAAGGGAGCGUAGGUGGAUUGUUAAGUCAGUUGUGAAAGUUUGCGGCUCAACCGUAACAUUGCAGUUGAAACUGGCAGUCUUGAGUACAGUAGAAGUGGGCGGAAUUCGUGGUGUAGCGGUGAAAUGCUUAGAUAUCACGAAGAACUCCGAUUGCGAAGGCAGUUCACUGGACUGCAACUGACACUGAGGCUCGAAAGUGUGGGUAUCAAACAGGAUUAGAUACCCUGGUAGUC
rnacentral:rRNA from 1 species